AGGAAGAGGAGGAGGAGGGUGUGUUAUUGAAUGGUGGCUAAAGCCUCCUCGGGACGGCGCUGAGGUGAAACGGGCUGAACCCGACUGCUGUGCCUCCUCUCCCGGUUGGACCCGGUGCCCUAAGCAGCCGAGGAGGGACCCCGGCCGCCCGGCUCGCAGAUGCGAAUAAGAUAUAGAGUCUUAAACAAAAAUGUGCCUGAUCCAAAAAUAUGCAGGAUAACUUAAGGAAAAAAAGAAAAAGUGGACUCACUGUAUUCCUGGUCAUUUCCAUGUGGGAAUAAACAGAUCAACAUGGAAUAGUAUAGGUACCUUUUUAAUGCUGAAAUGGGCAUGCUAAUUGUGAACUGUGUGGUCAGAAGCUCCUAAAAUAUUCAGUAACUUAUUUACUGGAAUUUAACAAGCUGUGUACUUCAAAGCUUCUUUCACCUCUAAUUAUGUGCAUAAACACUGUGAAUUGUAUUGCCAACUUGAGAUUUGGCACAGUAGCAGCAGUGCUGAAGCAGCCCCCGCCGCGAGGAAAGGUACAAACACGGGCAGGCGACCUGUGAUGGGCCAAGAGACCUCUCUUACCAGGAUUUGCUCACGGUUAUGCUUCUGGCAACUGACAUUUCCAUUUUACUCAAAGCUCCUACCUUUGUGUCAUCAGACAAAGCCCCAUGAGUGGUGGCAGAGCAAACUGUAGCCUUCAUUCUCAAGUUCGAAGAGGAAAAGUUAUUUACAUGCCUAAAUCGCAGAACAUGCUGUUCAAAGGUCACUCUCUGUUACUUAUUGUUUUAAACCACUAAGUUUUUCAAAAAGUCUAUAAGGAAAAAGCACAUAUUUUGGGCAGAAGCAUUUAAUUGGUUGCUUUCUUCUUUUAUUUUCCUUUUCUUAUUGUAUGAUCUGAUUUUUGUACUACCAGAGGAACGUUGAAGAUGGGAUGCUGCUGUCAUUCCUCACCAUGAAUGAUUACUUAAAGGGACCAUCAGAGAUUGCAAGACAAAUCUCUGACCCUCUUUAAGAUUUUUAUGUUCUGAAGAGGAAUGACUUUUAAUUGGUUAGGAUUUUAGAAUUUAUGAUGUAGAGAAAACUAUUGAUUCCUGUAAUGACUGAUCCUUUACUGUUUUUAUCAGACUUUCAACUGAGCAUUUCAUUAACAUUAUUGUUUAUGAAUUUAGGCAAAUAUUUAAUUGUUUAUUGCUGCACUGCCAUUUUCCCCCACCCCAUUUUAGACAUAUUUUCCUGAAUGUGAGCUUGAAUUUAGCAACAAGCAGUCUGAUUUCCAGAAAUGUAUUGUUAUCAGCAAAAGUACUCUCUACCAAGAUAUAUGAAUGGUAAUAUUAAGAGAAAGCACAAAUAGUGCCUUUAUUCAUUCAGAGAUGAAGCACUGAGAAGUCAAGGUUAUACAGCAGAAAUGAAUAAAUGCAGCUUGAAAUAUCUUUGUAUUCCAAACUACAAGAGCAACUCAAACAAUAAGGAUAACAUAUAAACAAACAAACAAACAAACAAGUUGGUUGAUUUCCUUAAAAAUGUUUGGAACUUAAACUUUAAAACUUAUAAACAAAAAGAGGAAAGCUGUCAUUUGACAUGGUGAUUAGGGUAGACUGAAGGACUUGUCUCAGAGGCUGCUUAUGCUGCUAUUGCACAGCAAAACUGUGUGGGUCAUUUAAUUUCUCUUAGUUCUCCCGCUUGUAAGUAACAAGCUGAAGUAAGCAUUACGGCUACUUCAGUCUAGUGUUGUGCAAUAUUCAGACGUUUCACAACACAAUAGAAAAGUGUGUCACAGUGUACUUAAAAGUUGCCUGUUAAACUUCAUGUUUUUGAGAUAGAAGAAAAUUUUGGCUACACCUCUUGAAAGAGCUCAUUUGUUCAGGUGGUGGUGGCAGCUUUAAGCUUCUCUGAGAUACAUUUUCUUAUUGGUUGUUUGUUUUUUAACUGCUUAAUGAGCUAAUUUUUGGUAUCACGUCUGGAAUAUGUAUGUCUCCUAUGACUGACAGGAAGGAUGGUUUCUGCAAAUAAAAAAUUCUCUUUUAGGAGGUCCUGUGAUCAGCGGAAUUCUGUCACCAUCACAAAAACAUACUUAGCAUGGCGUGUAUUUCCCAUUUCAGCUAAUAAACCUAACAUCUUUGUCUGGCCAACAUCUCAAGCCUGUUUGCUAAAUGAUAUUACUGGAAGACUCCUUACCAUUAAAGCAAUUGAGAUUGAGUCAAAUAAUAUGUAAAUGACGUAGCUUUUCCCCAUAAAUAAACAAGUUGAUAUUUUCCAGUACAGUAACACUUACUGGUAAUGAUAAUACCACAGUCUUGAAGAGGUUAUCUAGAAAAGAUAAACAGAGAAAAAUUGGUUGCAUCAUAUUUUCAAGUGGACAUAUACAUAAAUGUCUUCAGAUCAGGACUGUGCUUCUGAAGUUACUCUCCUGAUUAUCUCCACUUACUGUGCUACAUUUCACACAGUGUUCAUGUUGUCUCAUGGGCAGGAACUGGCUUUCUUUUGGAGAGCAAUAAGUUGAGAUAUAUUGUCUGGGUACUCACACCAGUACUCCAUUCUCAAACAGAUAUUAGGUUCAUCAAACCAUAUGAACUGAUCCUGAAGUGAGGACAGCAGGACUUCAACACUAAUUCUAAAGAGCCUGGUCAUUUUCUGUUUGUUACACUAUCUGUUAUUCCUAAACAUAACAUUGGCAAGGCUACAGAAUCCGGCAUCAGUUGGUAACCACCAACUCUGUUGAGUUCACAGAAGAUUUUGCAAGGAAGGAAAGUGCACAGAGAUCUCUGUGUUGAUGGUUGUGGUUUGCUGUUCAGUUCCAAGAUCCAUAGGAAAUGGUCAUGGGCUUUUUCUGAGAUUGAGCAGAGGUAGACACUGCCAAGGUAAAAUUAUUUAGAAAGAAACAAUACUUUCCCCUUGGUUUGUACUUGAGCAACAAGGACAGUGAAGUGCCCAGAAUAUUUUGCACUGUGCUUCUGGCAUAACCUAAAUUUUUCUUCUGCAACAUGGGCAUAUUAGCCACACACAUUGCAGUUAUCGAGGACUAUAGGUACAAUAGUGUAUUUGCUGUAGAUUUUCUCAGAUUCUAUAAAUAAAGAAAGAGAAUAUUUCUUGAAAGAACAAGACAAGACUUGGAUCGCUGUGAAUUUCCUCUCAAUAAUUUUGGUGACUGCACAUUUGGACUACAUGAAAGGAUAUCAGCAGGGUAUUAGUGAAAGUUGUACAAAACCUAUAUAAAACUAAAAGUUAUCUCUACAGAAAAUACUGGAAUCGAUGCCUACUCUCAAAAUAGGCCCAAAAUAGGCUCAAAAUAUAAGAACAUCCAAAUUAGGAAUGCAGAAUUUUACUUUUGAGAUCAUCAGCAAAGUGACACAGAUGUCCUUUACCUGCAUAUUUGCCAGGUUAAGCACCAGCCUACAGCAGAAGUGCAGGUCAUAUCACUGAUAUAUGCUUGUCAGAUGCCAUCGAAGAUAUUGGGUCCUACAGAAAAAAAGGAGAAACUAUUACAUUAUAACUGUAUUAUUAUGAUACAGAAGGAUAUGUUAGGAUUGCUGGUGAGGUAAAGAUUAAAACAGAAAGUAACCCAUGAACAUAACCUUUCAUGUGUUACCUACCUUUAUUUAAAUUCAGCGUGGUUUAAGUUUUUAAGGGGCAUCUUCUGGACUCGUGUUUCAGUGGUGAAAAUGCCUAAUCUGCGUACAGUCUAAUCAUGUUACUAUUUCAAGUUACUUUAAUUGCAGCACUUACGUAAGUUCAGGAAGCAGAAUUUCAUUCCAUCUCAUGAUUACUUAUUUACUUACAUUAAUCAUACAGCCAGAAAACAUGGAAUUAAAAAAAAAAAAGGAACUACUGAAAACUUGAUUGAACAUACUAGAGAAAUUAAUGUUACUAAAUGUUUGUGUUCAUAUGGAGCUUAAAAAUUUCAACACACUUCAAGAAAUAAAUGUAGAAAACAAACAGGGAAAUACAAAUGCUGUGGUUUCCCCAAGAAACUUAGUUUUCCUACUAUUUGAACUAGCUAAUAUAUCAAAUGUAGACAAAUAUAAAAAAUAGCUUUUGAAGCUCUUUACGUUUUAUUAUUUUUUCAAUUCUUGUAUCGUAUAUACUUACUGAGAUAGAAACAGUUUGCUUUCAGUCUGCUGUGAAUCUCUGAGACAAGUUAAAAUACUUGUGGGGACUUACUAUAUUAACUUAGGGAUAAAAAAAAUUGUUCCCACUUGGUCAUAUUAGGUUCUUCAGUAAACUAUUUUCAGGCUUGAACAGGUGCAUGACUGACCUGAGGAAGAGGUAUGUUAAACAUUUUAGAAGUUGGUUACUUUCCAAGUCAUUAGUCCUAUUCUUCUGACGUCUCUAAAAUGCCCUAAAGCAACCUACAGAUCAUUACCCUCUAACAGAUGAUUUUUAGAAUUCUAUUCUCCAUCCACAAGUCUACAGAUCGACCUCUAUGUAUGUAGUAUGACUUGUCAUACUACAUGUCUGCUGUCUCAGACAUGGAAGCCAUUUUGUAUUCUUAAUAACUAGGUUGGUCACUAAUAUAUCAAAAUCCAUACUGGCACAAAGUAUCUGGUUACAUUAUGAACAGUGAUUUUGCUGUAUUGUUAUGGAUGUUUAGACUACACAAAACAACAGGUUGUAAUGCUGUGCUUUCAGAACUGCAGUGGUAUGCGAGUGGGCACAUAUGCACAGCAGAUCUCUAGUUAUUGCAGGAAAGGCAGUCUCUGCUUCUGCUAUAUAUUUUCACAACUGAUAGGCUCUUUUUUUUUUUUUUGAGGUUGUCAUAUGGUAUAACACUUUUACUAGUUGACUCCUCCUACUUUUCUUCAAACCACAUCCUGAUUUUUGGCCUCAGAAACCAAACAUAUGCACAGCUUGCAGAACAACACAUGAUAUUGUUUCUGUAUAACAUCAUACCAGCUGGGAUAUAAAUUCCUACAGACAAUUUAUGCGAAUGAAAAAUACCUACAUUAAGACAUUUUCCAUAGCUAUGCAAUACAUACCACAGUAGAGCAUAUGGUCUAGAGUCAGAGAUCCUCGCUUACAAGUAUAACAAAAGCCCCGAGUCAGGCCUCAGAUCUUCAGACAGUGUAAUUUUUAAUAGAUCAUUCUAAUUUCUUUCUAUUUUUUUCAUUCUUUUUCUAUUGUGUUUUGGAUUUCUGGAAUCUAAUGUCAGCUAUUUUGCUGCAUUGUUGAAGAUCCUUAAUCUUUUUGAUUUAUCCAGUGUGGAGCACCAUAAAGCUAUUAUUUAACUAAAAAGCAACAAAUAUUUGGUGAAACUCUAACUCGUAUCAUAAUUUAAAGAUAUACCAAUAGCAAGAACUUACAAUUUGUGGGAAAUACAUUUCAACAUUUAUUUUCACUAUUAGAAAACUGUUCUACAUCUGAUUUGCCAGUUUUCCCCAGAAUUUUUGUGGGUGGAGCUGUUAUUUUAUUCUCCCUUCAUGAUAAAUAAGAUUUGGAUAUAGGUAUUUCUCGCAUGACCUAUAAACUUUAACCAAGUUGCUCCCAAUCCUCUUUUUUGAUAAUCAGUUAAUCACAGAAAAUGAUUUUCUCUCUCUCUCAAGUUCUGCAACUUUUUAUUUCCUUCUACCAUUUCUGUUAAAAUAUGGACAACAGAACUAUGGGAAAUAUUCCAAUGGUUGCAUCAGGAUUCAAAGAUUAUAUUAGCUCUGUUCAUGCAGUUUCACAGUAGGUAGUCAUGUUGAAUUGCUAGUACACUAUGCCCCAUAAAUCCUUGCAGAGUUGAUGCAUUUUGAAGCAAUAUACCAUUUUUUGGGGGGGAGUGAAAUUGUUUUGUAUUGAUGCACAAGCUUGUAUUCAUCACUUCCAAAAUGCUCUUUUUUUUUUUUUUUUUUUUUUUUAUUAUUGUUAUUUUUAAUGGGCCUAACUUGUUAAGAGAUCUCUUCUUCCCUGAGACGAGUGUUAUAUACUACUUACCCGCCUUUCAUCCUUAACAUGGUAAUUUCCAGUGCACCUCCAGAUCACUGCUGAAAAUACUGAGCAGCACAGGGCCUAGAGCUGAUCCCUGGUGACCGCUGAAAAGAGUCAAUAACAAUUUUCAUUUUAAGGUAUAUUCUGAUCGC